ACGUAGGGGGCAAGCGUUGUCCGGAUUCAUUGGGCGUAAAGGGUGCGUAGGCGGCGAGGCAAGUCUGAUGUGAAAUCCCGGGGCUCAACCCCGGAACUGCAUUGGAUACUGCCUUGCUUGAGUACUGGAGAGGAGACUGGAAUUUACGGUGUAGCAGUGAAAUGCGUAGAGAUCGUAAGGAAGGCCAGUGGCGAAGGCGAGUCUCUGGACAGUUACUGACGCUGAGGCACGAAGGCCAGGGGAGCAAACGGGA
rnacentral:rRNA from 1 species